rnacentral:rRNA from 1 species
CCUACGGGGGGCAGCAGUGGGGAAUAUUGCACAAUGGAGGGAACUCUGAUGCAGCGACGCCGCGUGAGUGAUGAAGGCCUUCGGGUCGUAAAACUCUGUCCUAAGGGACGAUAAUGACGGUACCUUAGGAGGAAGCCCCGGCUAACUACGUGCCAGCAGCCGCGGUAAUACGUAGGGGGCGAGCGUUGUCCGGAAUUAUUGGGCGUAAAGGGUGCGUAGGCGGCCUUUUAAGUCAGAUGUGAAAGGUCACGGCUCAACCGUGGUAAGCAUUUGAAACUGGAAGGCUUGAGUUAAGGAGAGGAAAGUGGAAUUCCUAGUGUAGCGGUGAAAUGCGUAGAUAUUAGGAGGAAUACCAGUGGCGAAGGCGACUUUCUGGCCUUAAACUGACGCUGAGGCACGAAAGCGUGGGGAGCAAACAGGAUUAGAUACCCUUGUAGUC